GUGAUGCUUAUCCUCUGACACCUUUGGACUGAGGAAGAAAAAGCCAAUGGGCAAAGGAGCUACUCCACUCUCAUCUGACACUUCAAAUCAAUAGGAUAAAGCCUUCUGAUUGAGUUCUGGUUGUGCCACACCUCAUGGAUUGGAGAAGCUCUCAAGAUGGAGAUGGGACUUGAGAAAAGAGAGAAAUGUGGGAAGAAACAUACCAAUCUAUGUAAAAUGAUGGUGUCUGUUCCGAAACAUCAGCAGGAAUUUGCAACAUCCAUGAAGUGGAAUCCAUGAGGCUAGCCCACUACACUGUACAUCCAAGAUGAUCUCUGCACUUCCUUCCUGCCCUCUAAAAAUGCGAAAUGUACCUAGCUCUCCUUCCUGACUGCCAGCCCUCCUGACCAAGAGUGACCCCAGGCCCACCAUCAGAUGGUUCACUGGGAUUCACAGAGGCAGUUGCCACAAAGAGCCAACAACCUUCCAUGGACUUCAACAUCAGCCUUCAUAGUUGCAUUCCAGCAGCUCAUUAGUGAUUUUUCUCUGAUCCUUUCUUGUCUUUAUUUCCUA